AGGAAAGAGACAUCAUCAGAGCCAACCCACGUGGAGCCAAGGAGGCUUCAGUCUGCAAGAAGCAUGUUUGAAGCCACCUUUUUUCAUCUUCUUCCAUCUUUCUCAUCCUCACCCAUGUGUACUCUGCAUCCGGCUAUUGAUACAGAUCACCGCAAGGAAGAAACCGCCCAUUUUGAGAACCCCCCGGAGCAUCCUCCCAUCACACUUGGGGCAUGUUCUUGUUCCGUCCUUUGUGCCAACAGCAUGCUCUGAGCUGGUCCUGCCUUCUUCAAUCCAUCUCUGCCUUUCAGGCCAAUGAGGCUCUUUGAUCUACUUGAUUCAAGGGUGACAAGGACUUCCCUCGCACAGCUACCCAGGUGGCCGUCAGAAACCACCGCCGUGCCUGGAGAUGCUUCCCCUUCACCACCCUAUCCAUCAGUUCAUCCACCGGCAAGUGACGGGAAGCAGCGCCUGGGGCAGCGCGAGAAGGGAGAGGACCAACUAUGGAUGGGAGCAACUGUGUUUAUUGAGGUCUCAUUCUGGUUUACCUCCUUCUAAUUCCAGUUUACCUCAUGCCCAGCCCAAAUCUAUUUGACACCAAGGGCUUUUAAACCAUAACUUAAAAAUACACACUAGGACAUGUGUGGAGAUAAAGGAAGGAUGGAUGAUUAGGAGCAAUAUUUAGUUCAGAGCGAUGAGCACUCCGUGGUUUCUGAGUGGUGACGAGGUUUCCCACAAUGACUUAGAGAAGGGAUCAUAGGAACCACCUGGAAUCCACAUGAUUGUGGCUGGGUGGGAGACCCAAUGGGUCCCUUUCUGUAACGAGGACCAGGCUUUAUUAAUUGGCUUUUAAUUGGCUCUUUAAAGAUGAUUUAAAGCUGAGAUUGGUCCCAGUCCCCAGUGAACUGUGAAAAGGGAACUUCUUUCUCUGUCUUGCUGCUAAAAAAAGUACUAAAAUGGGUUAAAUUCAGCCUAGAAAUGCCUUUUUUUUCUGUAAUAGAAGCUGUGUGAUAUGGCUGGGAUAUUCGUGGUGUAAGAUGUGACCUUGGAUGAUUGCUCGGUGGGUUGAGUUUUACUGCUUUAAAUCACGGUUGUAAUUUGGAGCGUCCGUUUGCUUUAAAUUCAGGAGCUUUCCUGUGUAAAAAGUUAGAUCGUGGUCACCUCUGAGAAGCACAGGGAACUGUUAGAAGCGUGGCAGAUUUCUGCAAAGCCUGGGUUCUUGUUUCCUGUCUUGUGUGCUGUAGGUCAGAGCUCCUGUGGCAGAAGGUUUCACCAAAGGAGCAUCUUGGACUCGAGGCAGUUGAGGCUUCUGACCUAGUUGUGAUCAGAGAGCUCUAAUGUUUAUUUAAGGAGGCUUGGGUUCAGACUGUUAUUAUCUACAGUUGUAUUGUGGUGAUGUGGCCUUGAGAUGCUCCUUAUCACUGCUUGAACCUCUAGGCCGGAUGCUGAAACCAGCCUAAUACUUUCUCUCGAGGGAGAAACCAUGAGAGAUGUGCAUCGUUUAGUGAAAGCAGAAACGAUCCUUGGUUUUGGUGCUCAAAUGUCAACCUUCAUGUCUUCUGCUUUUCUUUGAGGUUCCUUCCUCUUUGGUUCCAUGGUUGCCAUUUUGACGCUUUUUGUGAUGGAUGUUGGCCAUCCUUAUGUGCUGUGAGGCAUGAGCUGACUACGGGGGUCAGGAAGAAGUGUUCUGUGCAUGUUCAUCAUCACAAACCCGCCUGGUUGGGUUGCAGGGCUGGGUUAGACAGCUCAUCUCAACCAGGAUGGCAGUUUAACUGCUCUGACCUGGUACGUAGGUGGUUUUGCCAUCAGAGCUGUAUCACUGCCUCUCUCUGGGAGCCAAUACGGUACUUAAUUACUGACUUUUUAAAUUUAAAGAAGAACAAUAAAAUGUUACAGCAUAAAGGCUCUUCAUAUAAACACUGAUGAAGAGCCACCAGGCACAUCCAGUAGUGGAGCAGUGUUAAUUAAGGCAGUUGAGUUAAUAGCCAUAAGAAAGCCCAUGACUUAAUCUGUUGAUGACUUGUUUACUGUGUUAUUCAUCAACGAGAUGAAGUAAACCAACUUAAUUUCUUUUACACCCUCUUUUUUUCCUGCAUGGCAUUGCUGAUAUAAAGCCGGGUUGAUCAACAAACUGCUCUUGACAGGACCAGAAGGAUGUGAUACGCGUUAUUGAUACAGGAUCAUCCGCUGGAGGAAACACAAUGGGAAAACAAAGACCCUCCCGGCACUUUGCUAUCUCACCACCUGCCUCCAGACGUGCUGAACCCUUGGCGCGAGCAGCCUCGUUUCCACGCAUUGCUCUGGGUGCCUGCUUUUUGUCUGUCAACAUUAGAACCACAGAAUUGAGCAUCUUUGCACCCUCUGCUCUGCCAGUCUCCUAUUCAGGCUUUGCAGUGGACCAAGAUGAGGAAAUUCCACUCUUUCAGUCAUGCGCAAUGGCAUCGUUAAGAACACAAAUAGUUACUUUGGUGUCUGUGACUGGAGAUGCUGUUUGUAUGCGAGUGGCGACGUGCGGGUGAGAGAUCCUCAGCCACGUGUGAAAGAGCUCAUAUGUCUGAUCCCCAGAGCCUGGAUCUCCGCUUCUCGCUGUGUCUUGUACAAGUUUGUGCCUUGCAUUCCUUAUUUUCAUCUUUUAUAGUACUGCAGCCGGGUGCUUAUUUAUGUUCAUACACCCCUCACCUUCUCCAAAUGCUCCUGAGGACUCAGGGAGGUGUCAUAGGGCAUCGUUAGUGUGGUUUAGUCAGGAGUGACCUAUGCAAAGCUCAGGCUGGAGGUCUAAGCGGGGAGGUUUGACUAAAUGCUCUGUCUGUACUUUCUGCGUGUCCCAUGUCUCUCGCUCUGACCAAUCCCAGACUGCAGGAAGGGGUUUGGUGAGCAUCUGCUGUCUCCAUCCCUCCCUUCAAGAUGCUGAUCUCAAUUUUGCACCAUAUAUACACAGGAAAUACACCGAAAACCCAAACCACUUCAACGUGCUGGGUGGGUUUAAGUGAGCCUAGGCUGUAAUUGUUCUCUCUGCCUCGGACGCAGCCAUGAGGUCCCUGAGCCCUGCAAAAAAACCCAGUCAGGGGAGACUUUAGUCUCCCGUUCCACGUUGGUGAAGAGCCUGGUUUCCAGGGAACUCCUCGAAUUGGUGCUUUUGAUGGGGAGUAAUUCCCUCUGGUCCAUCUCAAUCACGUUGGGCCAAAGCCUCAAAAGCAAUUGACUUCCUUGGAGCUGUAUAAAAAGGAGGCAGGGGAGAAG